rnacentral:rRNA from 1 species
GACGAACGCUGGCGGCGCGCUUAACACAUGCAGGUCGAACGGAAAGGCCUGCUUUCCCUUGUGGAUUGCGGGUACUCGAGUGGCGAACGGGUGAGUAACACGUGAGUGAUCUGCCCCCAACUUGGGUAUAAGCCUGGGAAACUGGGUCUAAUUCCCGAUAGGACUGCAGGGUGGUGCCUGUGGUGGAAAACGAUUUUCUAGUGGUUGGGGAUGAGCUCGCGGCCUAUCAGCUUGUUGGUGGGGUAAUGGCCGACCAAGGCGGCGACGGGUAGCCGGCCUGAGAGGAGGGACGGCCACAUUGGGACUGGGAUACGGCCCAGACGCCUACGGGAGGCAGCAGUGAGGAAUAUUGCGCAAUGGGCGGAAGCCUGAUGCAGCGACGCCGCGUAGGGGAUGACGGCCUUCGGGUUGUAAACUCCUUUCGACCGCGAGGAAGCCACCUGGUUGGAAGGGUGGUGACGGUAGUGGUAGAAGAAGCACCGGCUAACUACGUG